UACAGAGGUCUCAAGCGUUGUUCGGAUUCAUUGGGCGUAAAGCGUGCGUAGACGGUUAUGUAAGUCAGGUGUGAAAGCCCCGGGCUCAACCUGGGAAUGCCAUUUGAGACUGCAUAGCUAGGGUACGGAAGAGGGAAGCGGAAUUUCAGGUGUAGCGGUGAAAUGCGUAGAUAUCUGAAGGAACACCAGUGGCGAAAGCGGCUUCCUGGUCCAGUACCGACGUCAGGCACGAAAGCGUGGGGAGCAAACAGG
rnacentral:rRNA from 1 species